rnacentral:rRNA from 1 species
AUCUGCAGCCAUGCUACCCUGAACAAGCCCGACCCUAUCCGAUCUCGGAAGCUAAGCAGGGUCGGGCCUGGUUAGUACUUGAAUAGGAGACCACCUAGGAACACCAGAUGCUGUAGGCA